CCUACGGGUGGCAGCAGUGAGGAAUAUUGGUCAAUGGGCGGAAGCCUGAACCAGCCAAGUAGCGUGCGGGAUGAAGGCCCUACGGGUUGUAAACCGCUUUUGCACGGGGAUAACACUCUCCACGUGUGGAGGUUUGCAGGUACCCUGCGAAUAAGCGCCGGCUAAUUCCGUGCCAGCAGCCGCGGUAAUACGGAGGAUGCGAGCGUUAUCCGGAUUUAUUGGGUUUAAAGGGUGCGCAGGCGGUCUUUUAAGUCAGCGGUCAAAGCCCGGGGCUCAACCGCGGCCCGCCGUUGAAACUGGCAGUCUCGAGUUGGUGUGAAGUAGGCGGAAUGCGCGGUGUAGCGGUGAAAUGCAUAGAUAUCGCGCAGAACUCCGAUUGCGAAGGCAGCAUGCCGGGUCCACACUGACGCUGAGGCACGAAAGCGUGGGUAUCGAACAGGAUUAGAUACCCUUGUAGUC
rnacentral:rRNA from 1 species